GGUUUUCUCAUCCUCCCCGGGUUUUACUUGCUUUCCUCGGAGCAUUCUACAAUCCCGUGAAGCCGGAUUGCACAAACAAAGGAAACCAGGUUGUGCGGCGGAGCCGGGUGAUUCGGGCUUCGGUGUUGGCGUUGCGGUUGUUCGGCUGCAAACUGUCUCGGUGGAUUAUUGGAAGUCCCCUUUGCGCAUGACCUACUGUACUGAGGACUCAAGAGGUUACUUUUGGAUAACGGUGAAAAUUUCACAAAGCAGCUUGGGCAAAAUCCCAAAUUCCCAGCUCCCUCCUUAGACAAGUCUUUCACAGAGAGUCAUCAUCUGCAUUUUCUUCUUUUAAUUCAUUUAUCUUGGACACCUCUCUGAUCUUUCCUUAAUUUUAUGAAAAGUGUUACUAUUGCUGGGGCGCCUGGGUGGCACAGCGGUUAAGCGUCUGCCUUUGGCUCAGGGCGUUAAGGGAUCGAGCCCCACGUCAGGCUCCUCCACUGGGAGCCUG
rnacentral:lncRNA from 1 species